rnacentral:tRNA from 1 species
GUCUACAUAGCUCAGCGGUAUGAGCGCUUCCCCGACACGGAAGAGGUCCCCGGUUCGAUCCCGGGUGUAGACACC